rnacentral:rRNA from 1 species
UACGUAGGGUGCGAGCGUUAAUCGGAAUUACUGGGCGUAAAGCGUGCGCAGGCGGUGAGCUGUGUCCGAUGUGAAAGCCCCGGGCUUAACCUGGGAAUGGCAUUGGAAACUGGCUCGCUGGAGUGUGGCAGAGGGGGGUGGAAUUCCGCGUGUAGCAGUGAAAUGCGUAGAGAUGCGGAGGAACACCGAUGGCGAAGGCAGCCCCCUGGGCUAAAACUGACGCUCAGGCACGAAAGCGUGGGGAGCAAACAGG